AGUAACACGUGGGGAACCUGCCCCAUAGUCUGGGAUACCACUUGGAAACAGGUGCUAAUACCGGAUAAGAAAGCGGAUCGCAUGAUCAGCUUUUAAAAGGCGGCGUAAGCUGUCGCUAUGGGAUGGCCCCGCGGUGCAUUAGCUAGUUGGUAAGGUAAAGGCUUACCAAGGCGAUGAUGCAUAGCCGAGUUGAGAGACUGAUCGGCCACAUUGGGACUGAGACACGGCCCAAACUCCUACGGGAGGCAGCAGGG
rnacentral:rRNA from 1 species